CUUUUCUGUUUUCCCUUCAGAUCACGCCUAAAUCUUUCGCCUUUUACUCAAGAUUUCCGUGGUGGGGAACAAUUGAUGAGUCUAUGAACUAAUUUUUAUUUCUUAUAUAACGAUUUAAUG